UACGUAGGUGGCAAGCGUUGUCCGGAUUUACUGGGCGUAAAGAGCGCGCAGGCGGUCGUUCAAGUCGCGUGUGAAAGCCCCCGGCUCAACUGGGGAGGGUCACGCGAUACUGAUCGACUCGAAGGCAGGAGAGGGUAGUGGAAUUCCCGGUGUAGUGGUGAAAUGCGUAGAUAUCGGGAGGAACACCAGUGGCGAAGGCGACUACCUGGCCUGUUCUUGACGCCGAGGCGCGAAAGCUAGGGGAGCAAACGGG
rnacentral:rRNA from 1 species